rnacentral:rRNA from 1 species
GGGCCAUCGCUCAACGGAUAAAAGGUACUCCGGGGAUAACAGGCUGAUACCGCCCAAGAGUUCAUAUCGACGGCGGUGUUUGGCACCUCGAUGUCGGCUCAUCACAUCCUGGGGCUGAAGUAGGUCCCAAGGGUAUGGCUGUUCGCCAUUUAAAGUGGUACGCGAGCUGGGUUUAGAACGUCGUGAGACAGUUCGGUCCCUAUCUGCCGUGGGCGCUGGAGAACUGAGGGGGGCUGCUCCUAGUACGAGAGGACCGGAGUGGACGCAUCACUGGUGUUCGGGUUGUCAUGCCAAUGGCACUGCCCGGUAGCUAAAUGCGGAAGAGAUAAGUGCUGAAAGCAUCUAAGCACGAAACUUGCCCCGA